rnacentral:rRNA from 1 species
GAUGAACGCUAGCUACAGGCUUAACACAUGCAAGUCGCGGGGCAGCAUGGGGGUUGCUUGCAACUCCCGAUGGCGACCGGCGCACGGGUGAGUAACGCGUAUCCAACCUGCCCUUCACCACGGGAUAACCCGGCGAAAGUCGGACUAAUACCGUAUGUUGUCCAUUGACGGCAUCCGAUUUGGACGAAAGGCUUUGCGGUGAAGGAUGGGGAUGCGUCCGAUUAGCCAGACGGCGGGGUAACGGCCCACCGUGGCUACGAUCGGUAGGGGUUCUGAGAGGAAGGUCCCCCACACUGGAACUGAGACCCGGUCCAGACUCCUACGGGAGGCAGCAGUGAGGAAUAUUGGUCAAUGGGCGUAAGCCUGAACCAGCCAAGUAGCGUGCAGGAUGACGGCCCUAUGGGUUGUAAACUGCUUUUAUGCGGGGAUAAAGUGGCCCACGUGUGGGCUUUUGCAGGUACCGCAUGAAUAAGGACCGGCUAAUUCCGUG